rnacentral:misc_RNA from 1 species
UCUCCGUAGGUGAACCUGCGGAGGGAUCAUUACAGAGUUCAUGCCCUACCGGGUAGAUCUCCCACCCUAUGUUAUUAUUACUUGGUUGCUUUGGCGGGCCGUUAGGCUCCGGCCCGACUACCGGCCCCGGCUGGUAAGCGCCCGCCAGAGGACCCAAAACCCUGAAUAUUAGUGUCGUCUGAGUACUAUAUAAUAGUUAAAACUUUCAACAACGGAUCUCUUGGUUCUG